CCUACGGGAGGCAGCAGUGAGGAAUAUUGGUCAAUGGCCGGAAGGCUGAACCAGCCAUGCCGCGUGAAGGUCAGUGCCCUAUGGGCGUUAAACUUCUUUUGUGCGGGAGCAAUAAUGGUCACGUGUGGCCAGACGAGAGUACCGUACGAAUAAGCAUCGGCUAACUCCGUGCCAGCAGCCGCGGUAAUACGGGGGAUGCAAGCGUUAUCCGGAUUUAUUGGGUUGAAGGGGUGCGUAGGCUGUGAGGUAAGUCAGCGGUGAAAUGCCCCCGCUCAACGGGGUGAAGUGCCAUUGAUACUGCCUUGCUGGAAUGCGGAUGCCGUGGGAGGAAUGUGUGGUGUAGCGGUGAAAGGCAUAGAUAUCACACAGAACACCGAUUGCUAAGGCAUCUCACGAAUCCGCGAUUGACGCUGAUGCACGAAAGCGUGGGUAUCAAACAGGAUUAGAUACCCCUGUAGUC
rnacentral:rRNA from 1 species